GACGAACGCUGGCGGCGUGCCUAAUACAUGCAAGUAGAACGCUGAAGGAGGAGCUUGCUUCUCUGGAUGAGUUGCGAACGGGUGAGUAACGCGUAGGUAACCUGCCUGGUAGCGGGGGAUAACUAUUGGAAACGAUAGCUAAUACCGCAUAAUAUCAGUUGUUGCAUGACAACUGUUUGAAAGGUGCAAAUGCAUCACUACCAGAUGGACCUGCGUUGUAUUAGCUAGUUGGUGGGGUAAAGGCUCACCAAGGCGACGAUACAUAGCCGACCUGAGAGGGGGAUCCGCCACAAUGGGACUGAGACACGGCCCAGAAUCCUACGGGAGGCAGCAGUAGGGAAGCUUCGGCAAUGGACGGAAGUCUGACCGAGCAACGCCGCGUGAGUGAAGAAGGUUUUCGGAUCGUAAAGCUCUGUUGUAAGAGAAGAACGAGUGUGAGAGUGGAAAGUUCACACUGUGACGGUAUCUUACCAGAAAGGGACGGCUAACUACGUG
rnacentral:rRNA from 1 species